UCUAUUGAUUGUUUUUCAAAA
rnacentral:piRNA from 1 species